rnacentral:rRNA from 1 species
GACGAACCGUGCGAACGUUGUUCGGAAUUACUGGGCGUAAAGAGCUUGUAGGUGGUUUGUCGCGUUGUUCGUGAAAUCUCACGGCUCAACUGUGAGCGUGCGGGCGAUACGGGCAGACUAGAGUACUGCAGGGGAGACUGGAAUUCCUGGUGUAGCGGUGGAAUGCGCAGAUAUCAGGAGGAACACCGGUGGCGAAGGCGGGUCUCUGGGCAGUAACUGACGCUGAGAAGCGAAAGCGUGGGGAGCGAACAGG